GACGACAUCAGAGAUGAGGACAGUAUUGCUGCUCCUUGCAGCCCUGGCCGUGGCUACAGGGCCAGGUGGGGGAGGCCUCUGUUGGGCCUGCUGAGCCCGAUUCCCUCCCUGCCAGCCCUUGCCCUGCGCUGCCACGUGUGCACCAGCUCCAGCAACUGCAAGCAGCCUGCGGUCUGCCCGGCCAGCUCUCGCUUCUGCAAGACCAUGAACACAGUGGAGCCUCUGAAGGGGAAUCUGGUGAAGAAGGACUGUGCGGAGUCGUGCACACCCAACUACACCCUGCAAGGCCAGGUCAGCAGCGGCACCGGCUCCAUCCAGUGCUGCCAGGAGGACCUGUGCAACGAGAAGCUGCACAACGCUGCACCCACCCGCACCGCCCUCGCCCACAGUGCCCUCAGCCUGGGGCUGGCCCUGAGCCUCCUGGCCAUCGUCUUAGCCCCCAGCCUGUGACCCUCCCCCCAGGGAAGGCCCCUCAUGCCUUUCCUUCCCUUUCUCUGGGGAUUCCACGCCUCUCUUCCCCAGCCGCAACGGGGGUGCCAGGAGCCCCAGACUGAGGGCUUCCCCGAAAGUCUGGGACCAGGUCCACUUGGGCAUGGAAUGCUGAUGACUUGGAGCAGGCCCCACAGACCCCACAGAGGAUGAAGCCCCACCACAGAGGAUGCAGCCCCCAGCUGCAUGGAGGGUGGAGGACAGAAGUCCUGUGGAUCCCCGGAUUUCACACUCCUUCUGUUUUGUUGCCGUUUAUUUUUGUACUCAAAUCUCUACAUGGAGAUAAAUGAUUUAAACCAG
rnacentral:sRNA from 1 species